UAAAGCUUUGUGUAGUCUCACAACUACUACUAAAGACCAGCAGUGGCUGCCCUACGGCAUCUCUGGUCCCAGCUCUCUACCGUGGGGUUUGCUAGCGACCUCAGGCCUAUGGCGGAAACGCUUCAGCUUCAGUUUUCUGAUCCACAAAGGAGAGAGGGUGAAGAUGCUGCUAAUGAUGGUGUUCCUCUCUGAAGACACUAAACAGCAUAUUUAGAAGAAAGAAGCAGAAUCCUCAGAAGAGGAUUCUCCACUGUGUCCUUGAUUUUUGGCUAGGCUGCAGAUGGCUCUGGAAGAGGAAGAUGGAGGUGGGCCUGACCUAAACAGGCGAGCCC